rnacentral:rRNA from 1 species
GCUUAUACUCUACGGUCAGCGGCAAGAGCGACGGCGCCGCGCGUUUGCCGUCACCAUGCUCUUACGAGUAGGAGGGUCGCGGCGGUGAGCGCAGAAGGGCUGGCCGCGAGGCCGUCUGGAGUCGCCGCCGGUGCAGAUCUUGGUGGUAGUAGCAAAUACUCCAGCGAGGUCCUGGAGGACUGACGUGGAGAAGGGUUUCGUGUGAACAGCCGUUGCACACGAGUCAGUCGAUCCUAAGCCCUAGGCGAUAUCGAUGCUGUGUAGAUUAAUACAAUUCAAUACAUAAUUUAAUUAAUUCGUUCACACCCGUCGGGCGAAAGCGAAUUCGGUUCCUAUUCCGGAACCUGGCAGCGGAACCUUUAAUAAGUCGGGC